UUCGGCCAUAGAAUCGAGAAAGUACCACAUCCCGUCCGCUCUGUGAAGUUUUUAAGCUCGAUAUCGCUCGGUUAGUACCAUCGUAGGGGACCAGAUGGGAAUCCCGGGUGCUGAAGUU